rnacentral:rRNA from 1 species
AUUGAACGCUGGCGGCAGGCCUAACACAUGCAAGUCGAACGAGUGGCGGACGGGUGAGUAAUGUCUGGGAAACGGCCCGAUGGAGGGGGAUAACUACUGGAAACGGUAGCUAAUACAGCAUACCAUCGGAUGUGCCCAGAUGGGAUUAGCAAGUAGGUGGGGUAACUGCUCACCUAGGCGACGAUCCCUAGCGGGGUUGAGAGGAUGACCAUCCACACUGGAACUGAGACACGGUCCAGACUCCGACGGGAGGCCGCAGUGGGGAAUAUUGCCCAAUUGGCGCAAGCCUGAUGCGGCCAUGCCGCGUGUAUUAAGAAGGCCUUCGGGUUGUAAAGUACUUUCAGCGAGGAGGCGUUACUCGCAGAAGAAGCUCCGGCUAACUCCGUGCCAGCAGCCGCGGUAAUAC